ACCCUAUUAUUUUUAAUGUAACUAUUCUAUACCAAAGUAUUAUUAGAUAAGGUCUUGAAACUUAAAGAAUUUGGCGGUAUUAUAGUCUAUUUAGAGGAAUCUGUUAUGUAAUCGAUAGCCCGCGUUGAACCUUACUUAUUUAAUUUCUUGUAUAUCGCUGUUUAAGAAAAUAUUUUUAGAUUAUUUUCUUGAUUAUUAAUUUUUGAAUAUUUCAAGUCAAGGUGCAGUAUAAAUAAGUUAAAUAAUGGAUUACAAUAAACUUUAUUUAUAUGGAUUAUUAUUUUAAUAUGAUUUGAAGGUGGAUUUAUUUGUAAAUUUUUGAAGAUUGUAAAUUUGAUUUAUAGCUCUAUAAUAUGUACACAU
rnacentral:rRNA from 1 species